rnacentral:rRNA from 1 species
UGAAAAACCAUAACACCAGUUAAAUAGCCGCGGUAACUCUGACCGUGAUAAAGUAGCAUAAUCAUUUGUCAUUUAAUUGGUGACUAGAAUGAAUGGUUAAACGAAUCUCUAGCUGUCUCAACAAGAAAUAGAACAAAAUUAAAAUUACAGUGAAGAUGCUGUGAAUAAAUUGCAAGACGAAAAGACCCUAUUGAGCUUUACUGGAUGUUUGUAAACUUUUCUCAUCAUAAUAAUAUAAGUGACCUAUAAAGCAAAUAAGACAGUUUGGUUGGGGCGACCACCUCUAAAAUAGUAACAGAGGAGAUCUAAAGGUUAAAUUUAUGAAUACUAACUUUACUGAAAUAAUAAUAGUUUAAUCAGUUACUCACUAAGUAGGACAUAAUGACCCGCUAUUUUUUAUGUAAAAAAUAACGAUUACAGAAUAAGUUACCAUAGGGAUAACAGGGUAAUAGUUUUCAAGAGUUCAUAUCGACGAAACUGUUUGCCACCUCGAUGUUGAAUUGUGAUAUC